GUGUCAGCAGCCGCGGUAAUACAGAGGGUGCGAGCGUUGUUCGGAAUUAUUGGGCGUAAAGCGCUUGUAGGCGGCUUGUUAAGUCCUGUGUGAAAGCCCUUGGCUUAACCAAGGAAGUGCGCAGGAAACUGGCGAGCUUGAGUGCCGGAGAGGGUCGCGGAAUUCCCGGUGUAGAGGUGAAAUUCGUAGAUAUCGGGAGGAACACCAGUGGCGAAGGCGGCGACCUGGACGGACACUGACGCUGAGACGCGAAAGCGUGGGGAGCAAACAGGAUUAGAAACCCCAGUAGUCC
rnacentral:rRNA from 1 species